GGGCCAUAGCUCAGUGGUAGAGCAUCUGCUUUGCAUUCAGAAAGUCUCACGUUCAAUCCUUGGCAUCUCCA